AUGAGUUUUAUCCUGAAACUUCACAGACAUUUCCAAAGAAGAGUAAUUUUGCUGGCCACUUUUUGUAUGGUGAGCAUAGUUAUUUCUGCCUACUACUUGUAUAAUGGCUACAAAGAGGAGAAUGAGCUUCCUGAAACCUCUUCAGAAGUGGAAUGUGGUGAUCCUCAACCGUUGCCAUCCAAGCUGAUGGGGAUGAAGAGCACGAAGCCCAUCGAUCCCCUGAGGACAGACCUGGUAGUGCUGGUGUUUGUGGAAAGCCAGCACUCAAGCUUAGGCCAAGAUAUAAGAAGCAUUCUGGAAUCCAGCAGGUUUCAGUUUCACCUUGAGAUUGCAUCUGGGAAAGGUGACCUCCCAGUGCUUAUAGACAAAAGCAGAGGCAAAUACGCUCUCAUAGUGUAUGAAAAUAUUCUGAAGUACGUGAAUAUGGACUCUUGGAACAGAGGCCUUCUAGAUAAGUACUGCCUGGAGUACGGUGUAGGUGUGAUUGGAUUUCACAAAGGCACUGAGAACAGCUUGCAGAGCUUUGAGUUGAAGGGUUUUCCUUUCCAUGUCCACAGCAAUCUGGGUGUUCAGGACUGUUGCAUUAACCCUCAUUCCCCACUGCUCCAUGUGACUAAACCUUCUAAGCUUGAGGAAGGGCCCUUGCUUGGAAAUGCCUGGGCCGUUUUCCAGGUUAAUCACACAACUUAUCAACCAGUGAUAUUUGCAAAAGUAAAGACACCAGAAAACCUUUCUCCACCUGCUGCUCUAGGUGCUCUCUAUGCCACAGUAAUACAUGACUUGGGGCUCCACGAUGGGAUUCAACGAGUCCUUUUCGGCAAUAACUUGAAUUUUUGGCUGCACAAGCUGAUUUUCAUAGAUGCCAUCUCUUUCCUGUCUGGAAAGAAACUCACCCUAUCCUUGGAUAGGUACAUUCUGGUUGACAUAGAUGAUAUCUUCGUUGGCAAGGAUGGAACAAGGAUGAACACCAACGAUGUACAGAUGUGCUGCUGUGAUGGAAAUUUCUGUUCCAGCACACUUCCACACCAAGAGAAAUAGAGGAAAAAGAAAAGAGAAAGGAGUUAAAAGCCAGAAGGCAUCAUUUAAAUGCCAGUGUGGCAACCAAAGAGCAAGUGCCAUGGGUGCUGUGCACCCAGACCUGCAGCACCAGGGCCAUCCAUCUGCCUCAGGAGUCCUGCUUUCAUCCUUGGAGUGUGCAUCCUUCCAUCCUCCCGUGUGCAC